UACGGCCACAUCACAUUGAAACACCGGUUUCCGUAUGAUCACGGAAAUUAAUCAAUAUCGAGCUGAGUCUGUACCUCGAUGGGUGGCCACUUGGGAAUACAAGGUGCUGUCA